UACGUAGGGUGCGAGCGUUAAUCGGAAUUACUGGGCGUAAAGCGUGCGCAGGCGGUGUCGCAAGUCGAGCGUGAAAGCCCCGGGCCCAACCCGGGAACGGCGCUCGAGACUGCGGCGCUGGAGUGCGGCAGAGGAAGGCGGAAUUCCGCAUGUAGCGGUGAAAUGCGUAGAGAUGCGGAGGAACACCGAUGGCGAAGGCAGCCUUCUGGGCCAACACUGACGCUCAUGCACGAAAGCGUGGGGAGCAAACAGGAUUAGAAACCCCAGUAGUCC
rnacentral:rRNA from 1 species